CCCCGACAUUGUGUACUUUCUUUAUUAAUCAGAGUGAGACUAUGAAGUAUAAAGUAAACUUGGUGUACUUGGGAGAGAGCCCAAGAAAUCACUCAAAAUUUCUCUACCUUGUGAAUUACUUUUACAAGUGACAAUUUAGAAGCAGACAAACCCGGCCUACUCUAAGGUAAGGAGAGAGGAUAAGGAGAGAAACUCUUAAAGAAGACUGCAAGAGAGGAAGCAGAAGGGAAAAAACUUCUAAAAAUAUAACCAAUACACUCAUCGUUGGUGAGACCCAGAGGCGAGGCCCUAUACACAGAUUAUCAAUACAUGUAUAAAGUUGAGCCCCUACCGAAUGCUUUCACACCAAGACUGUUAGCCCAAUGGAAGUUGGCUGUGUGGAUACUCUUGAGGACCACAAGAGGUCUUGUUUCUUUAAAAAAACAAAACCAAACAAAACAAACCAUUAAGGGCCCAUGUGAAUUGGGGAAUAUGAAGAUACCAAAAAAAAAAACAGAAAUAGAGGGAGUUGUCCUGGACAGACCCCAAACUGAGAAGAGUGAAAUAAUGGAUUUUUCCUUUCAGCACAUUGUCUCAUAUGAGAAGAAUGAAAGAUAACUGAUAAGCAACUUCCAGCAAGAAGACAUAUAACUUAUAUUCUGAUUGGUUACUAGUGAUUUGAAUCUAUGCAGAUGUAUCUAAUGCUAACAUAUGUAUGUAUAGUAUAUGUAUUUAUAUGACUAGUCAUAGACUUGAAGCAUUUUUUUUCAUAUUACUAAAGACUUGGCACUAAGUGCCAGUUUGAGAAAAUAUUUUGCUUCCUUUUCCAUUAAUUUUGAUUAGC